GCCUGUGCUCCACAAGAGAAGCCACCGCAAUGAGAAGCCCACACACCACAACGACGAGUAGCCCCCGCUUGCCGCAACUAGAGAAAGCCCACCCACCGCAAUGAGAAGCCCAUGCACCGCAAUGAAGAGUAGCCCCCACUCACCGCAACUAGAGAAAACCCACGUGCAGCAACGAAGAUCCAAAGCAGCCAUAAAUAAAUAAAU